rnacentral:misc_RNA from 1 species
AGAAUCAUUGGUGAAAAAU